AACGCUGGCGGCGUGCCUAACACAUGCAAGUCGGAUGUGCCGCAAGGUGCAUGGCAGACGGGUGAGUAACGCGUGGGGAAUCUGCCUCUUUGUGGGGAAUAACGCUCCGAAAGGAGUGGUAAUACCGCAUGAGAUCCAAGGCUGGGAUGUUUUGGAUGAAACCUGGGGACCGCAAGGCCUGGGGCAAGGAGAGGAUCCUGCGUCUGAUUAGCUAGUUGGUGAGGUAACGGCCCACCAAGGCAACGAUCAGUAGCCGGCCUGAGAGGGUGAUCGGCCACACUGGAACUGAGACACGGUCCAGACUCCUACGGGAGGCAGCAGUGGGGAAUUUUGCGCAAUGGGCGAAAGCCUGACGCAGCAACGCCGCGUGGGUGAUGAAGGUCUUCGGAUCGUAAAACCCUGUCGUCAGGGACGAAGGUUUGGGCGUUAAUAGCGCUUAAGCUUGACGGUACCUGGAGAGGAAGCCCCGGCUAACUCUGUGCCAGCAGCCGCGGUAAUACAGAGGGGGCAAGCGUUAUUCGGAAUUAUUGGGCGUAAAGGGCGCGUAGGCGGCUUUUUAAGUGAGAUGUGUAAUCCCCGAGCUCAACUUGGGAACUGCAUCUCAUACUGGGAGGCUAGAGUACUGGAGAGGGUGGUAGAAUUCCACGUGUAGCGGUGAAAUGCGUAGAGAUGUGGAGGAAUACCAGUGGCGAAGGCGGCCACCUGGACAGUAACUGACGCUGAGGCGCGAAAGUGUGGGUAGCAAACAGGAUUAGAUACCCUGGUAGUCCACACUGUAAACGAUGAACACUUGGUGUGGAGGGAGUUGACCCCUUCCGUGCCGUAGCUAACGCGUUAAGUGUUCCGCCUGGGGAGUACGGUCGCAAGGCUGAAACUCAAAU
rnacentral:rRNA from 1 species